GAGGGGAUUGGAGUCAGAAGACUUUGCUUCAAAAGCUGGUUCUGGUACUUUAUUCAUGUGUGACCCUGGGACAAACAAAUAAUGCCGUGAGAUCCAACUGAGCUGUUCAUUCAGCUUUGGCAAGAGUACAAGGUCAUUUAAUUGGAGCCUCUUGAAAAGAGUUCUACUAGACUCCCCAUUGACAUACUGCCAUCUGCUGGAGCUGGGUCUGCCGAUCAGCUUUCCAAGUGUUUGGCUCCCUGAGCCGGAACAUAUGCUCAUUCUCCAUUUCCUGCUGAUUUUUCUGACGCCUGUCCAAAUAUCCAGGAGAGGAAGGCAGGCAGGACUAGAUUUCUGCAAAACUGUGAAGGCUGAGGCUGAAAAUUUUCUGAAGAAGAAGAACCACUCUCAACCAUUAUUAUUGAAUACAGCAUUUGCUCUGGACUUGAUAUUAAUUCUUACUGAAAGUAAUCUAAAGUUACAAGGCAAAACAACACUUAUAUGCAAAAUAUACUGCAAUAAAGUCAAUUUGAUGACAACUAAUAUUGUUCAACUCACAGGUAAUAUCAAGGUGCUUCAUAUACUUCCUAUGCUGUCAAAAGUUAAAUCAAGAAGUAAGAACUUUACUCCCACACGAAUUUAUAAUGGAUAUAUUUUCUGAGAUCAAAAUAUAGAUCCAGCAGUGUUUUUUGGAUCUUAAUGAAAGUGCAAAAGAAAUGUUUAUAUUUCAAAUUUUACUUCACUGAUCAGGUGAGAAGCUCUCACUUAACCUUAAUUUGGAAGAGACUAACUCUGCAACAUAAUGAUCUACUAAGGAAAAAAUACUGGGAGGUGGAUAUAAUAGAAUUCCAUAUAUUGAAUAUGCCCAAUUAAAAUCAUAUGCUCCUGGACUGAUAUUAGUAUUUGAAAGAACUUAUAUUUGCAAAGAGACAUUUUCAAAGAUGAAAUUCAUAAGAUCUCGUUACAGGUUAGUAUUAACAGGUAAACAUUUAUAAUUGAUUUUAAUGAUAGGGAAUACUAACUUUUGACCCCCAGUAAGUAAAGUAUCAUUCCCAAGAAGAAUCUGAUUAUUAUCAUUAGGAGAGCCACAUUAAAAAUUAUACCCGAUUAUUACUAUGACUAUUAUUAUAUUUUGAAAUAUGCCAAAAACGUUUGGGGAAAUUGGUUUUCUCUUGUUAUAUAAGUACCUACAUAAUAUCCUUGAUUUCUCCUUCUAUCCACUGCCUACAGAAUAGUUUAACUAUAACAGCUCUAAUUUACCAUAACUGCUUUAGUUUAAUUAUAACAACAGAGGGCCUAAAAUGUUUAUUAUUUGGCUAAUUGUAGAAAAAGUUUUCCAAUUGCUAUCUUGGAACAAUACAGAUAUGUAGAAUGUAACCUGGUGCUCAACUAUUUUCCAUAAGACUAUCUUCCUUGGUGAAAAAUGAUUACUUGAUAUUCUGAAAAUGCAUGAGGAUCAGAGUUGAUGAAAGCUUCGGAGAAGAGAGAUGUUAGGUUUUCUGUCUUUGAGAAAGGACACACAAGGUUCCAGGCUUUCUUCAGGAUAAGGUGGCUGAAGGGAGAGAAAGACUCCAAGAAAAAGUCUACAUGUUCAAGCAACUGGUACCUCUCUAUCUGUUGGCUUCUUCUUGGAG
ensembl:lncRNA